UUUUUUUUUGGCUGCACAACGUAGUCCCUUGCUGGAACACUGGAGCUUACUCCUCAUGUAAGAAAGUGUCUGAAGUGCGAAGGUGGCAGCCUUAGGUGUGAGCAGGUGGUACUGUCCAUUUGCCACCCAUCGCUCUCCCAGAUAAAGAUGAACAUAACCAGCUGUGAGAUACUGGGAAUUUCCAGCCGCUUGUUGUAAGGCCUGCUAUGUUGUAACCAGAUGGGAAAGGUGUAAUUGAAGAUUGUUAGGUGAACAGGAGAGUCCUGCUUUGGGAGUGACUAUCUAGUCUGCAUUUAUUUCUUAUCUUGGUUUCUUUCUCUCUCUCUCUCUCUCUCUCUCUCUCUCUCUCUCUCUCUUUCCUUGCUUUUUUUGUUUUUUGUUUUGUUUGUGUUUUUGUUUUUCAAUACAGAGUUUCUCUAUGUAGCCCUGGCUGUCCUGAAACACACUCUGUAGACCAGGCUGGCCUCAAACUCACAGAGCUCCACCUGUCUCUGCCUCUGGAGUGCUGGGAUUAAAGGUAUGCACCACCACAGCCCAGCCUUUCUCAGUUUCUUUUUUCAGAGUUGGUAGUAAUACUUUGGUGGUGGCUGAAAACGUGUGUGCGAUGAGAAGAGAAAGAGAAGCCAGAAAAUUUAAAAUAAACUGGAGGUAGAAUUGAUCUGAGCUAUAGCCAAAAGUGUAGAUAACGCCAAGAGCCAAGAGAAAGGAACCUAGUUUUCCCUGGAGUUUUGCAUGGGACUUACCAUGUAAGUGAAGCCUGAAACUACUCCUAGCCUGGCCCCGAAACAGGGGAGGGAUAUCACCUGCUGGCAUGUGAUGGAUCUAGGGAACUAGUUCUACAGCUGGGGAGGAACGUGGCACUGAGAAGGAUCCAGGCAAAGGAUGGGCUGAGUUCCCAAGUAUUGCCUGAGUUCCUCCUGACUCACGAGCAAGGAGGAUGGAUGCAGAGGAAUUUGUACCACUUUUGCCUAAACUGACUCAAGUGGUUAAGGGACCUUGAAAAGCAUAGUGUCCAAAACACCAGGCGAUCUUUAAAACUGCUUUGGGGAUGUAAAGGACACAGUAUAUGGGGUGAGUAGAGGAGGCGGCAUGGCUGACUGAGGUCCCAGAGAAGCAGUGAUAGACACUGAGCUCAGACAGACCCUGGGAUGCCUUUACUUGGUUAUUAGCUAGAAAGAAAACACUUAUUAAAAGUGGUAGGCUGUGGUGGGGGAAGGGGAGUCAUGUAAAAAAAAAGAUUUUACAGGUCAUGUGGUGUGUCACACCCCUACCCCCUGCUUCCAGAGGUAGGAGCACUCAAAGAUAACAUGUGAAUAAAUACAUACAGUGUUCUAACUUUACUGGCAGUGAUAUUUGAAUUUCAUAUAGUUUUUGUAUGGCAUGAGGUUCUUUUGAUAUUUUUGU
rnacentral:lncRNA from 1 species